rnacentral:rRNA from 1 species
CGAGUAGGGCGAGGCACGUGAAACCUUGUCUGAAUAUGGGGGGACCAUCCUCCAAGGCUAAAUACUCCUGACUGACCGAUAGUGAACCAGUACCGUGAGGGAAAGGCGAAAAGAACCCCUGUGAGGGGAGUGAAAUAGAUCCUGAAACCGCAUGCAUACAAGCAGUGGGAGCACCUUCGUGGUGUGACUGCGUACCUUUUGUAUAAUGGGUCAGCGACUUAUAUUCAGUAGCAAGGUUAACCGUAUAGGGGAGCCGUAGAGAAAUCGAGUCUUAAUAGGGCGUUUAGUUGCUGGGUAUAGACCCGAAACCAGGCGAUCUAUCCAUGAGCAGGUUGAAGGUUGGGUAACACUAACUGGAGGACCGAACCCACUGUCGUUGAAAAGCCAGGGGAUGACUUGUGGAUAGGGGUGAAAGGCUAAUCAAGCCUGGUGAUAGCUGGUUCUCCCCGAAAGCUAUUUAGGUAGCGCCUCGGACGAAUACCAUAGGGGGUAGAGCACUGUUUCGGCUAGGGGGUCAUCCCGACUUACCAAACCGAUGCAAACUCCGAAUACCUAUGAGUACUAUCCGGGAGACAGACUGCGGGUGCUAACGUCCGUAGUCAAGAGGAAAACAAUCCAGACCGCCAGCUAAGGCCCCAAAAUCAUAGUUAAGUGGGAAACGAUGUGGGAAGGCAUAGACAGCUAGGAGGUUGGCUUAGAAGCAGCCACCCUUUAAAGAAAGCGUAAUAGCUCACUAGUCGAGUCGGCCUGCGCGGAAGAUGUAACGGGGCUAAAA